UACGGGGGGGGCAAGCGUUGUUCGGAAUUACUGGGCGUAAAGGGCUCGUAGGCGGCCAACUAAGUCACACGUGAAAUCCCUCGGCUUAACCGGGGAACUGCGUCUGAUACUGGAUGGCUUGAGUUUGGGAGAGGGACGCGGAAUUCCAGGUGUAGCGGUGAAAUGCGUAGAUAUCUGGAGGAACACCGGUGGCGAAGGCGGCGUCCUGGACCAAUACUGACACUGAGUGAGCGAAAGCCAGGGGAGCAAACGGG
rnacentral:rRNA from 1 species